GUUUGGUUCAAGCCAUCGAGGUGAAUCUACUGAAGUUUCAUUUUGCUGUAAACCAAAAUAUUCCUUUUCUGUCACACCCAACUGACUAUAGGUCAUAUCCAACAAAAUCUGACCAGUGUCUUGUUUAUUGACUUUGAAGCUUUGUAUUGAGCCAUCCAAAAAGUGAACGUUACAGGUUAUCUCUGAUCGGGUUUUCUCUUUUGGUAGUUCUGAUGCUCGUAUGUUAUUUAUCCUCCCAC
rnacentral:lncRNA from 1 species